CAGCAUUGAAUGUGAAAUAAAAUGAUUCCAAACAUGCUACAUUAUACAAUCUUAAAAAUUCUACUACGAUUACUGAGCUCACUGAUGUGUGAAUCUAAAAUCUUGUUAGAUUUUAGAAACAUAUCUAACACUUUUUUUGAAUGUAACGGUACAAGAUGCCAAUCUUGCAUUUCGUUAUUUUUGUGGGAUGUAAAAUAGUUAUUAGAGACAGCAACAACGUGCUGUAUCAUUGUAAAUUUUUAGACGUUCCUGCCGAAGAGGACUCAUUCAUCCGUGAACCAAAGAAAAGAAAACACAUCUUCUUGGUAGGUAGGUACUCCUACCAAACUUUGUAAAAGACCAGCAAUGAACGACGACGAUGACCGCACGAAGGAGGAAACACAAAGAAGCAACCAAUCACCAAUAAUACGCACGGUCGGAUCGGCUCCGAUGGAUGGAUGGAUGUCGAGAAGAAAACGACCAAGACCAAAAUUGCCGUCGACCGUCGAAAAAAAGGCGAAUUAUUCCAAAAUAUGGGGCCCCGCUGUUUUCCGCCGAAGCAGGUGUUUAAAACCUGCUGCGGCUGCGUUUACGAAGAACAACGGCUUCGGCUUUUGUUCUCCACCCAUGGGCUAAGGAGGGCGAACGUGCGGACUCCCAUUGGAUUGGAAGGUUUUUUAUUUUCCCGUUUUUCAUGAGAGUAAAUAUGUACUCAGACACAAAGCACGGGCCUGUCGUGGAAAGGUCAGAUUUUUCGAGCUAUUAUAUAAAGAUGAUUAUGAAUCCUUGAAUAAUAAAAAUAUUUGUCCCAUCGAGUUAAUUGGAGAAUAAGAA